GGGCGCUUAGCUCAGCUGGGAGAGCAUCGCCCUUACAAGGCGAGGGUCAGUGGUUCGAGCCCACUAGCGCCCACCA
rnacentral:tRNA from 2 species